AGGAAGGAGAGUCGUAACAAGGUUUCCGUAGGUGAACCUACGAAAUGAUCAUUG
rnacentral:rRNA from 2 species